UACGUAGGGUGCAAGCGUUUAAUCGGAAUUACGUGGGCGUAAAGCGUGCGCAGGCGGUUAUGUAAGACAGGUGUGAAAUCCCCGGGCUUAACCUGGGAACUGCAUUUGUGACUGCAUAGCUAGAGUACGGUAGAGGGGGAUGGAAUUCCGCGUGUAGCAGUGAAAUGCGUAGAUAUGCGGAGGAACACCGAUGGCGAAGGCAAUCCCCGUGGACCUGUACUGACGCUCAUGCACGAAAGCGUGGGGAGCAA
rnacentral:rRNA from 1 species